UACGUAGGUGGCAAGCGUUGUCCGGAUUUAUUGGGCGUAAAGCGCGCGCAGGUGGUUUCUUAAGUCUGAUGUGAAAGCCCACGGCUCAACCGUGGAGGGUCAUUGGAAACUGGGGAACUUGAGUGCAGAAGAGGAUAGUGGAAUUCCAAGUGUAGCGGUGAAAUGCGUAGAGAUUUGGAGGAACACCAGUGGCGAAGGCGACUGUCUGGUCUGUAACUGACACUGAGGCGCGAAAGCGUGGGGAGCAAAC
rnacentral:rRNA from 1 species